UAUACUCUGGUGUACAGGCACGUAAAAUUUUGAUUUUUAAUGAAAUGGUGUGAUUCCAUUGGGUGUAG
rnacentral:tRNA from 1 species